rnacentral:rRNA from 1 species
AACGAACGCUGGCGGCAGGCUUAACACAUGCAAGUCGAACGCUCGUAGCAAUACGGGAGUGGCGGACGGGUGAGUAACGCGUGGGAACGUGCCCUGAGGUACGGAAUAACUGAGGGAAACUUCAGCUAAUACCGUAUGAGCCCCGAGAGGGGAAAGAUUUAUCGCCUUGGGAGCGGCCCGCGUCGGAUUAGCUAGUUGGUGGGGUAACGGCCUACCAAGGCUUCGAUCCGUAGCUGGUCUGAGAGGACGAUCAGCCACACUGGGACUGAGACACGGCCCAGACUCCUACGGGAGGCAGCAGUGGGGAAUCUUGCGCAAUGGGGGCAACCCUGACGCAGCCAUGCCGCGUGAACGAUGAAGGCCUUAGGGUUGUAAAGUUCUUUUACCCGUGACGAUGAUGACGGUAACGGGGAUAAGCUCCGGCUAACUUCGUGCCAGCAGCCGCGGU